CGGGACAUGGCGCAGCUUGGUAGCGCACCUGCUUUGGGAGCAGGGGGUCGCAGGUUCAAAUCCUGUUGUCCCGACGA
rnacentral:tRNA from 4 species